rnacentral:rRNA from 1 species
UACGUAGGGGGCAAGCGUUGUCCGGAUUUAUUGGGCGUAAAGAGCGUGUAGGCGGUCAGGUAGGUCCGUUGUGAAAACUCGAGGCUCAACCUCGAGACGCCGAUGGAAACCAUCUGACUAGAGUCCGGAAGAGGAGAGUGGAAUUCCUGGUGUAGCGGUGAAAUGCGCAGAUAUCAGGAAGAAUAUCCGUGGCGAAGGCGGCUCUCUGGUACGGCACUGACGCUGAGACGCGAAAGCGUGGGGAGCGAACAGG